CUAGCGACUUCAGAGUUUGAUCCUGGCUCAGGAUGAACGCUGGCGGCGUGCCUAACACAUGCAAGUCGAACGGGGUUAAGGGAAGUUUUCGGAUGGAACUUAACUUAGUGGCGGACGGGUGAGUAACGCGUGGAUAACCUGCCUCGCACUGGGGGAUAGCAGCUGGAAACGGCUGGUAAUACCGCAUAAGACCACGGUGCCGCAUGGCACUGGGGUAGAAGAUUUAUCGGUGCGAGAUGGAUCCGCGUCUGAUUAGCCAGUUGGCGGGGUAACGGCCCACCAAAGCGACGAUCAGUAGCCGGCCUGAGAGGGUGAACGGCCACAUUGGGACUGAGACACGGCCCAA
rnacentral:rRNA from 1 species